UAAGCUCAGUGACAGAACAUCUGCUUUGCAUGCAGAAGGUCCAAGUUUUGAUCCCUGGCAUCUCAA